GACGAACGCUGGCGGCGUGCUUAACACAUGCAAGUCGAACGGUAAGGCCCUUCGGGGUACACGAGUGGCGAACGGGUGAGUAACACGUGGGUGAUCUGCCCUGCACUUCGGGAUAAGCCUGGGAAACUGGGUCUAAUACCGGAUAGGACCACUGCCUGCAUGGGUGGUGGUGGAAAGCUUUUGCGGUGUGGGAUGGGCCCGGGGCCUAUCAGCUUGUUGGUGGGGGGAUGGCCUACCAAGGCGACGACGGGUAGCCGGCGUGAGAGGGUGACCGGCGCCACGGGGACUGAGAUACGGCCCAGAGGCCUAUGGGAGGCAGCGGUGGGGAAUAUUGUACAAUGGGCGCAAGCCUAAUGCAGCGACGCCGCGUGAGGGAUGACGGCCUUCGGGUUGGAAACCUCUUUCAGCACCGACGAAGCGCAAGUGACGGUAGGUGCAGAAGAAGGACCGGCCAACUACGUGCCAGCCGCCGCCGUAA
rnacentral:rRNA from 1 species